GCUUUCCUGUGGCUCAGUCAGUAGAGCAUUGCCCUAGCAACCCAAAGGUCUUGGGUUCAAGCCCCAGGGAAAGCA